rnacentral:misc_RNA from 1 species
GAUGAAGAACGUAGUGAAAUGCGAUAAGUAAUGUGAAUUGCAGAAUUCAGUGAAUCAUCGAAUCUUUGAACGCACCUUGCGCCCUUUGGCUAUUCCAGAGGGCAUGCCUGUUUGAGUAUCAUGAACACCUCAACUCUCAUGGUUCUGCCAUGAUGAGCUUGGACUUUGGAGGUCUUGCUGGCCCCUGUGGUCAGCUCCUCUCAAAUGGAUCAGCUUGCCAGUGUUUGGUGGCAUCACAGGUGUGAUAACUAUCUACGCUUGUGGUUUUCCACCAGGUAACCUUCAGUGAUGGAGGUUCGCUGGAGCUCAUAAACGUCUCUCCUCAGCGAGGACAGCUUCUUGAAUGUUUGAUCUCAAAUCAGGUAGGGCUACCCGCUGAACUUAAGCAUAUCAAUAAGCGGAGGA